rnacentral:RNase_P_RNA from 1 species
CUAGGUAGUUGGGUAAUUGCUGGGCUUGGUGAAAAUUAAGCACAGAGGAAAGUCCGAGCUCCACAGAAACAAAGGACUGGUUAACCACCAGCUGGGGUAACCCAAGAGAAAGUGCAGCAGAAAAUAUACCGCCUAUAUAAUGUAAAACUAAAUAGCUAAACAUUUUAUAAAUGUAAAGUUAUUUGCUUAAUUUAUACUUGGUUUAUAUGAGUUAUAUUGAAGUUAUAUGUUAUAAAUAUGUUGUAAGUUAUACUUUUGUGUUUAUAAAUAUAAUUUUAUAUAAGUAAGUAAAUUACAAUAAGUUACAUAAUUAUUUAUGUGGCAGUAAUUAACAAUUAAAUUAAUUAUAUAGGUAAGGGUGAAAAGGUGGGGUAAGAGCCUACCGCUUUUUUGGUAACAGAAAAGGCAUUGUAAACCUUCCUUGGAGCAAGAUCAAAUAAAGUAGCGUUGUUUUUACAACAUCUCAGUUUCUGGAGUAUACUUUGGUGGAUCGCAAGAGGUUAUAAGUAAUUAUAACCCCAGAUAAAUAAUUACCGUUUUAGCUUGCUAAAAUACAGAACUCGGCUUAUAAACUAUCUAGUAAU